CCUUACCACUCCUUGACAUGGAGAUUAGAUCCUUCUUAACGGAAGGGCGCAGUUCGGCUGGGUCUCGCACAGGUGCUGCAUGGCUGUCGUCAGCUCGUGUCGUGAGAUGUUGGGUUAAGUCCCGCAACGAGCGUAACCCUCAUCCUUAGUUGCCAGCGGGUAAUGCCGGGUACUUUAAGGAAACUGCCGGUGGUAAACCGGAGGAAGGUGGGGAUGAUGUCAAGUCAGCACGGCCCUUAUGGGGUGGGCUACACACGUGCUACAAUGGUGACUACAAUAGGUUGCAACGCCGCAAGGCUGAGCUAAUCCAUAAAAGUCAUCUCAGUUCGGAUUGUCCUCUGUAACUCGAGGGCAUGAAGUCGGAAUCGCUAGUAAUCGUGGAUCAGCAUGCCACGGUGAAUACGUUCUCGGGUCUUGUACACACUGCCCGUC
rnacentral:rRNA from 1 species